UAACUAGUACGGAACAGAUAGAAAGCAUACAUCAUACAUUCAACAUUUUGAGACUUUGAUUUUUUAUUUCUUCAGUCAGCUCCGGCCACUGGUUCAAUACGCAAGGGUUUUUGCCUUUUUCUUCCUAUGCCACAGUAAUCCAUCUUCAAUCUUUACUUCUCCAUUAUUAUGCUGCUCAAUUAUCUUCCCCCCAAAAUCAAUACCAUUGCAUAAACCAACUUUUUUCUCUCUUUUCAAUGGCAGAUGCUAUUCGUUUAUCUUCUUGCAAUUCUCUUCAAUACCCCACUUCUUUGCUCACCUCACUGAAUAAUUGGCACCCAGUUAUAUUGCGUAAUCGGAAUUUUCUUGAAAUGGGUACUAAAAUUUUAAAUUCAGCUCUUGUUUCUGUUGCUCCUCUCUCCUUCAAAUCCAGAAAGCGAGUGAAUUCUUUUAAGGUGAAUGCUGUUGUUGCUGAAGCGACUGAUCAACCGAAAUGGUGGGAGAAGAAUGCAGGACCUAAUAUGAUUGAUAUUCAUUCCACUGACGAGUUUUUGAGUGCAUUGAGUGAAGCCGGAGAUAAAUUAGUAGUUGCCGAAUUUUAUGGAACUUGGUGUGCCUCUUGUCGUGCUUUGUUUCCCAGGUUGUGCAGAAUGGCUGAGGCACAUCCGGAGAUAUUGUUUAUAAAGGUCAAUUUUGACGAGAAUAAGGCAAUGUGCAAAAGUAUGAAUGUGAAGGUACUUCCUUACUUCCAUUUCUAUCGCGGAGCUGAUGGAAAGGUGGAAGAGUUCUCAUGUUCACUAGCUAAGGAUUGUAGAUCUAGCUGCACAGUUUCCACAAUUUGCAGGAGUUGGCUUGGCUUACAUCAUCGUCCAGUUGCUGGUUCUAAUUACCCCUUGCAGAUUCUUUCCUGAAUUGAUCUGCCAUCAACUGGGGUUUUGUCGCCAUCGUUCUUUGGGUCAAGCAUUGUCAUCAUUGUGUUUCACCAUGGUUUUGAUUAUGCAAUUCCAGAAAAUAAAGGACGCCAUUGAAAUGCAUAAUCCAGCUCAGAACGACAAUGUGGGAAAAGUGGGAAAUGAUCUUAGACUUGAUCCUUCAGCCGAUGUAGAUGAUAAAUCAGUCAAAUCUAAUGACACAUAAGAUCCUUUGCUGAUUAUUUUGUUUAUAUACAUAGUAUCUACACUGGUACUAGUACAUAUGUAUAUUUGCAAGUGUUGUGUUGAUUAUAAUCAGAUGUAAUUCUGGCCA